rnacentral:rRNA from 1 species
CCAGCUCGGCUUACCAUGCAGUCGAGGGGCAUCAGGAAGAAAGCUUGCUUUCUUUGCUGGCGACCGGCGCACGGGUGAGUAACACGUAUCCAACCUGCCCUUUACUCGGGGAUAGCCUUUCGAAAGAAAGAUUAAUACCCGAUGGCAUAAUGAUUCCGCAUGGUUUCAUUAUUAAAGGAUUCCGGUAAAGGAUGGGGAUGCGUUCCAUUAGGUUGUUGGUGAGGUAACGGCUCACCAAGCCUUCGAUGGAUAGGGGUUCUGAGAGGAAGGUCCCCCACAUUGGAACUGAGACACGGUCCAAACUCCUACGGGAGGCAGCAGUGAGGAAUAUUGGUCAAUGGGCGCUAGCCUGAACCAGCCAAGUAGCGUGAAGGAUGAAGGCUCUAUGGGUCGUAAACUUCUUUUAUAUAAGAAUAAAGUGCAGUAUGUAUACUGUUUUGUAUGUAUUAUAUGAAUAAGGAUCGGCUAACUCCGUGCCAGCAGCCGCGGUAAUACGGAGGAUCCGAGCGUUAUCCGGAUUUAUUGGGUUUAAAGGGAGCGUAGGUGGACUGGUAAGUCAGUUGUGAAAGUUUGCGGCUCAACCGUAAAAUUGCAGUUGAUACUGUCAGUCUUGAGUACAGUAGAGGUGGGCGGAAUUCGUGGUGUAGCGGUGAAAUGCUUAGAUAUCACGAAGAACUCCGAUUGCGAAGGCAGCUCACUGGACUGCAACUGACACUGAUGCUCGAAAGUGUGGGUAUCAAACAGGAUUAGAUACCCUGGUAGUCCACACAGUAAACGAUGAAUACUCGCUGUUUGCGAUAUACAGUAAGCGGCCAAGCGAAAGCAUUAAGUAUUCCACCUGGGGAGUACGCCGGCAACGGUGAAACUCAAAGGAAUUGACGGGGGCCCGCACAAGCGGAGGAACAUGUGGUUUAAUUCGAUGAUACGCGAGGAACCUUACCCGGGCUUAAAUUGCAGUGGAAUGAUGUGGAAACAUGUCAGUGAGCAAUCACCGCUGUGAAGGUGCUGCAUGGUUGUCGUCAGCUCGUGCCGUGAGGUGUCGGCUUAAGUGCCAUAACGAGCGCAACCCUUAUCUUUAGUUACUAACAGGUUAUGCUGAGGACUCUAGAGAGACUGCCGUCGUAAGAUGUGAGGAAGGUGGGGAUGACGUCAAAUCAGCACGGCCCUUACGUCCGGGGCUACACACGUGUUACAAUGGGGGGUACAGAAGGCAGCUAGCGGGUGACCGUAUGCUAAUCCCAAAAGCCUCUCUCAGUUCGGAUCGAAGUCUGCAACCCGACUUCGUGAAGCUGGAUUCGCUAGUAAUCGCGCAUCAGCCACGGCGCGGUGAAUACGUUCCCGGGCCUUGUACACACCGCCCGUCAAGCCAUGGGAGCCGGGGGUACCUGAAGUACGUAACCGCAAGGAUCGUCGUAGGUAAGCG